GACGAACGCUGGCGGCGUGCCUAAUACAUGCAAGUAGAACGCUGAAGAGAGGAGCUUGCUCUUCUUGGAUGAGUUGCGAACGGGUGAGUAACGCGUAGGUAACCUGCCUUGUAGCGGGGGAUAACUAUUGGAAACGAUAGCUAAUACCGCAUAACAAUAGGUGACACAUGUCAUUUAUUUGAAAGGGGCAAUUGCUCCACUACAAGAUGGACCUGCGUUGUAUUAGCUAGUAGGUGAGGUAACGGCUCACCUAGGCGACGAUACAUAGCCGACCUGAGAGGGUGAUCGGCCACACUGGGACUGAGACACGGCCCAGACUCCUACGGGAGGCAGCAGUAGGGAAUCUUCGGCAAUGGGGGCAACCCUGACCGGGCAACGCCGCGUGAGUGAAGAAGGUUUUCGGAUCGUAAAGCUCUGUUGUAAGUCAAGAACGAGUGUGAGAGUGGAAAGUUCACACUGUGACGGUAGCUUACCAGAAAGAGACGGCUAACUACGUG
rnacentral:rRNA from 1 species